ACGCACGCUGGCGGCAUGCCUCACCCAUGCCAGUCGCACGAGACCUUCGGGUCUAGUGGCGCACGGGUGCGUAACGCGUGGGAAUCUGCCCUUGGGUUCGGAAUAACAGUGAGAAAUUACUGCUAAUACCGGAUGAUGUCUUCGGACCAAAGAUUUAUCGCCCAGGGAUGAGCCCGCGUAGGAUUAGCUAGUUGGUGGGGUAAUGGCCUACCAAGGCGACGAUCCUUAGCUGGUCUGAGAGGAUGAUCAGCCACACUGGGACUGAGACACGGCCCAGACUCCUACGGGAGGCAGCAGUGGGGAAUAUUGGACAAUGGGCGCAAGCCUGAUCCAGCAAUGCCGCGUGAGUGAUGAAGGCCUUAGGGUUGUAAAGCUCUUUUACCCGGGAUGAUAAUGACAGUACCGGGAGAAUAAGCUCCGGCUAACUCCGUG
rnacentral:rRNA from 1 species